UCGUUUUCGAGGUUAGUGGUUUCUCUGUCUAGCGUCUCCAACCUUCUUCCAUCGACGGAUCUUUCGUCUUCUUCUUCCCGAGCGAGAUGAUACAGUAACCGAUUCCCCCUCAUUAAGUGCUCCUUCAUCAAUCACACACGAUCUCCAUUCAAUGCGACCCUGAAUAGUGCAAGGCGGUGGAAGCUCUGCUAUAAAAAGACUGGCCGCUCUUCCUCCUCCUCCGUUCAAGUUCGCCUGCUCCGAUUUUGGGAGGCCAGGAACGUCGUGCCAUGCUCCUCUAGAUUCUAAGGCACUUGAAGAAGUUAUCUCAGAGGAAUGACCAGUCUGGAUCACUUUCUCCAUGUAUACGUGCGUAUAUGCUUCUCUGAUGCGUUUUAAACGAUUAAUGAAACCCAGAGGAAGUAUUGAGGAGAAGCAGGAGGUUAUUAUUAAAGUUGAAAAGGAAAAGGCUGAGAAGGUUAUCAAAGAGUUAUCCACUAAAUAUGAUAAAGAACUUUCUGACUGUAAAGCCAAAUCAAAGCACCAAUUGCUGACCAUUCAAGAGGAUAAUGCUUCUCUGGUUUUCAAAUAGCAAACAUGAUGAUAAAGCUCAUGUUCUGCAGAUACUCACUAUCCGGGAGGAACAUGAGAAUAGGGAGUUAAAUCUCAAAGCUAAGCACGAUGAGGAACUGAUACAAGCUCAGCCUUAGGCCGAAACUGAAUUGAAAGAGAAGAUAACAACAAUCAGGAACGAGCAUGACGUUCAACUGAAAGCAUUUAAGUGUCACUACGAAGAUGAUUACAAGAAGCUGCAAGACGAAUUAGAUCUUCAGAGAUUAAAAGAAGAGAGGCAAAGAGCUUUGUUGCAAAUGCAGUGGAGGGUUAUGAGUGAUAAAGCUCCAGAAGAGCAAGAAGUGAGCACUAGGAAGGUUAGACCAGAAAUCAUUUAGUUUAUAGUGCCUUUUAAAGAAACAUAAAUGUAUAGUGAUUUCGAGUACUUAAUCAUCAUCUUGCAGGAAUACUGUGAGAUUUCAUUGAUCACUGUAUAAACAAUCCACAUUAAUUUGUCUCUUAGUUUUGUAUUUAGAACUGCAAUAAGGGAGUUUCUGUUCAGCUCUGGAUAUGAUGGGUCUUUAAAAACAUUACGUGUUUAAAGGAAGGGUAAGAAGAUUUUGGAGAAGAAAUGGAUCACUUUGAAACAUAACGCCAAGCUGAGUUUUUCGCUUCUUCAGAUUGGGCAAGAACAAAAGGUUUACAGGGGGUUUCAGAGAAGAGUCAGGAUUUAGAAGGAACUAGGUUCAAACUCAUGUGUUCAUGACCAUUGGAGGAACAACAACGAAUAUGUCCUAAUGAGCUGGAGAGAAGGCUACAGAGUCUUAGGGAGACUAGACAAGAGGGGGAUAUAAAAGAGCUGCAGACUUCAAUGGAAGACGCUAAUAAAAGUCUUCAUGUGAUGGGCUGAAGAUUCUUGGUGGAAAGACACAGUGUAUGUAGGCUCUGAACAUAUACAGUCUAAAAUCAAUUCCAACUAUCAAAAUCGUUGUUACCCUUUCCCUAAGUAAGAAAUCCAGUGUUUUAAGUUUUAUUAGAAAACAAAAGUGUUUGUAAUCUUGUGAAGAAGCUUAAUGUUAAUUAAUGGAUUUGCCUUAUAUU